UGAUCCCAUGCCGAACUCAGAAGUGAAACGCGGUAGCGCCGAUGGUAGUGUGGCAUUCGCCAUGCGAGAGUAGGACACUGCCAGGC
rnacentral:rRNA from 1 species